rnacentral:tRNA from 1 species
GCGGUCUGUAGCUCAGUUGGUAAGAGCACCUCGUGAGCAACGGGGAGGUCAUGGGUCCGAAUCCCAUCAGCCGCA